AGGAGCUGAAGCGGCGGGGUCUCUGGCAUGAGUAGUCGACAUCAGGUUGGGCGUAGCUAAGGUAGCUGCAUCUGGGCGCGGCAUUGCGAUGGAUUCAGCGCAAGGGAUGUUGCGCCUAGCCGUGAGUAUUGCAUUGCGCUGAGCUAGCAUCUUUUGUUUCUCCUUGGGUGGUAUGUUCUGCACACGUGCUCUUCGGCGGGCGUUUGUCUCCUGCUUCUCCUCGUCUGUCAUAUUUUGGUAUGCCACCCUUCUGCAGUAAUUCCUCUCUUGAUUCUCCUCGACCGGCAUAUUUUGGUAGGACGCCCUUCUGCAGCUGUUUCUCUCUUGCUUGUCCUCGACCAUCAUAUUUUGGUAGGCCGCCCUUCUAAGGGUGUUACUUUGUUGCUUCUCCUCUGCUGUCAUCCGUUGCCUGGCUUCUCUCUGACGGGCAUUCCUCUCCUCGUCUGUUUUCUUCUUCCUAGCUGCUCUGCGGUGUGCAUUGAUUUUCUCCUUCUCUUCAGGUGUUAGUCUAUCCCGCCGUGCUCUGUAUUGUUCUCGCCUUUUCUGUUUUUUGUCAGAUGUAAUGAUUGCAUUUGAAGCAAUGUGUUCAAGACCAGUGUGUGAGGUGUUGAGUCCAACCGCUAUAUCUGAGCCAAUAUUAUGCUCGAUGCUGCUUUGUGUUCCUUGAAGUGAUACACGGUGAUCAUAGAUAACUCAGUCGAGAACUUUAAAAGAGCAAACAAGAUUCUGGCUUCGGAGUCUGAGCCGGUUCAAAUAUGGGAUUUCUCUGCGCGAACAACCUUCAUAUGGAUGAAUGAAUGGAACCGUAUGCCCCAAGAUCCUCGGUCUAAGAUCCUCGGCCUUCUGACCAGGAGGUGAGGAUGGUGGCAGGAGGAUGUACCUGCGGCGUGAGGAGAUGGGUGCAGGAACAGCCGGCGCGCGGAGGUGGCUGGUUCCGACGGCCUCAGGUGAGGAUGGUGGCAGGAGGAUGUACCUGCGGCGUGAGGAGAUGGGUGCAGGAACAGACGGCCUUGGUGAGCAACACCAUGAGAGGAGAUGGGUGCAGGAACAGACGGCCUUGGUGAGCAACACCAUGAGACGGGAGCAGAGGUUGCUGGUUCCGGCGUGGCCGGACUGGUUCCGUUCCGGCGGAUGUGGCCGGAGGGCGAGUAUGGGUCCAGCGAGAGGAAAAACUGGCGUUCCUGGUGACGUGCGAUGACGGCUCGAUGGAGCUUCCGCACUUGUUUCUUUGUUUGGUUUGGCUGGGACGUGUCUUUUUUUUGGUUUGUUUUUUUGGUCAAUGCAUGGAGUACUGUUGUUUUUCUUUGGCCGGUGCGUGAUCGUGGUACUGUUGUUUUUCUUUGGCCGGUGCGUGAUCGUGGAUUGAGUCGUAACUGUUGUUUUUCUUUGGCCGGUGCGUGAUCGUGGGCUGAGUUGGUGGAGAUGUA